UAGGAAUCUGCCUGGUAGUGGGGGACAACGUUUCGAAAGGAACGCUAAUACCGCAUACGUCCUACGGGAGAAAGUGGGGGAUCUUCGGACCUCACGCUAUCAGAUGAGCCUAGGUCGGAUUAGCUAGUUGGUGAGGUAAAGGCUCACCAAGGCGACGAUCCGUAACUGGUCUGAGAGGAUGAUCAGUCACACUGGAACUGAGACACGGUCCAGACUCCUACGGGAGGCAGCAGUGGGGAAUAUUGGACAAUGGGCGAAAGCCUGAUCCAGCCAUGCCGCGUGUGUGAAGAAGGUCUUCGGAUUGUAAAGCACUUUAAGUUGGGAGGAAGGGCAGUAAGUUAAUACCUUGCUGUUUUGACGUUACCAACAGAAUAAGCACCGGCUAACUUCGUGCCAGCAGCCGCGGUAAUACGAAGGGUGCAAGCGUUAAUCGGAAUUACUGGGCGUAAAGCGCGCGUAGGUGGUUCGUUAAGUUGGAUGUGAAAGCCCCGGGCUCAACCUGGGAACUGCAUCCAAAACUGGCGAGCUAGAGUAUGGCAGAGGGUGGUGGAAUUUCCUGU
rnacentral:rRNA from 1 species